GACGAACGCUGGCGGCGUGCCUAAUACAUGCAAGUCGAACGAGAGCGCCCGGUGCUUGCACUGGUCAAUCUAGUGGCGAACGGGUGAGUAACACGUGGGUAACCUGCCCAUCAGAGGGGGAUAACAUCCGGAAACGGAUGCUAAAACCGCAUAGGUCUUCGAACCGCAUGGUUUGAAGAGGAAAAGAGGCGCAAGCUUCUGCUGAUGGAUGGACCCGCGGUGCAUUAGCUAGUAGGUGAGGUAACGGCUCACCAAGGCCGUGAUGCAUAGCCGACCUGAGAGGGUGAUCGGCCACAUUGGGACUGAGACACGGCCCAAACUCCUACGGGAGGCAGCAGUAGGGAAUCUUCCGCAAUGGACGCAAGUCUGACGGAGCAACGCCGCGUGAGUGAAGAAGGUGUUCGGAUCGUAAAACUCUGUUGUUAGAGAAGAACAAGUGCUAGAGUAACUGUUAGCGCCUUGACGGUAUCUAACCAGAAAGCCACGGCUAACUACGUG
rnacentral:rRNA from 1 species